rnacentral:rRNA from 1 species
UGGGGAAUAUUGGACAAUGGGCGAAAGCCUGAUCCAGCCAUGCCGCGUGUGUGAAGAAGGUCUUAGGAUCGUAAAGCACUUUAAGUUGGGAGGAAGGGCAGUAAAUUAAUACUUUGCUGUUUUGACGUUACCGACAGAAUAAGCACCGGCUAACUCUGUGCCAGCAGCCGCGGUAAUACAGAGGGUGCAAGCGUUAAUCGGAAUUACUGGGCGUAAAGCGCGCGUAGGUGGUUCGUUAAGUUGGAUGUGAAAUCCCCGGGCUCAACCUGGGAACUGCAUUCAAAACUGUCGAGCUAGAGUAUGGUAGAGGGUGGUGGAAUUUCCUGUGUAGCGGUGAAAUGCGUAGAUAUAGGAAGGAACACCAGUGGCGAAGGCGACCACCUGGACUGAUACUGACACUGAGGUGCGAAAGCGUGGGGAGCAAACAGGAUUAGAUACCCCAGUAGUCCCUGAGCGGGCUGGCAAGGCGCAU